rnacentral:lncRNA from 10 species
CUAAAUCUGCUAUGAGGCUGUUUUAUAUCCCGAACAGCUGAAUGUAUUUCAAUUAGGAUAGUAAGAAGUACAGUUAAAGUAGAAGACUUCAUAGAUUCUUUAUGUUGAGUGUUGCCAUAGAGGAUGGACAUAGAAUCAACUUCGACUGCUAUUUAUAUAUGAAUAAAUAAGGAUAAUCAUUCUGGAACUGUUCCUGUAAAGUGAAAUCCUUCUACAUGUUAGUUGAAACUCUGGUUUUUUUACUUAUCCAAGUCUUUAUCUCAGUGUACAAAUAAUGUGAAUGAAGUCUUUCUCACUUCCCUUCAAUUUGGUGUUGCAUGGCUUUUUAGAAAUAAAUAGCAUUUCAUGUCCUUCGCCCA